GACGAACGCUGGCGGCGUGCUUAACACAUGCAAGUCGAACGAUGAAGCGCCAGCUUGCUGGUGUGGAUUAGUGGCGAACGGGUGAGUAACACGUGAGUAACCUGCCCCCUACUCUGGGAUAAGCCUGGGAAACUGGGUCUAAUACUGGAUAUGACCAAUCACUGCAUGGUGUGUUGGUGGAAAGAUUUUUUGGUGGGGGAUGGACUCGCGGCCUAUCAGCUUGUUGGUGGGGUAAUGGCCUACCAAGGCGACGACGGGUAGCCGGCCUGAGAGGGCGACCGGCCACACUGGGACUGAGACACGGCCCAGACUCCUACGGGAGGCAGCAGUGGGGAAUAUUGCACAAUGGGCGAAAGCCUGAUGCAGCGACACCGCGUGAGGGAUGACGGCCUUCGGGUUGUAAACCUCUUUCACCAGGGACGAAGCUAACGUGACGGUACCUGGAGAAGAAGCACCGGCUAACUACGUG
rnacentral:rRNA from 1 species